GUCGAACGCGAAAGUCCCGCAAGGGAUCAGUAGAGUGGCAAACGGGUGAGUAACACGUGGGUGACCUGCCUUCGAGUGGGGGAUAACGUCCCGAAAGGGACGCUAAUACCGCAUGACAUCCUGCCUUUGAACAGGCGGAGAUCAAAGCUGGGGAUCGCAAGACCUGGCGCUCAAAGAGGGGCCCGCGCCUGAUUAGCUAGUUGGCGGGGUAAUGGCUCACCAAGGCAACGAUCAGUAUCCGGCCUGAGAGGGCGGACGGACACACUGGGACUGAGACACGGCCCAGACUCCUACGGGAGGCAGCAGUGGGGAAUUGUUCGCAAUGGGCGAAAGCCUGACGACGCAACGCCGCGUGGAGGAUGAAGACCUUCGGGUCGUAAACUCCUUUCGAUCGAGACGAAUGGCCUUCGGGUGAACAACUCGGAGGAAUGACGGUACCGAGAGAAGAAGCCCCGGCUAACUCCGUGCCAGCAGCCGCGGUAAUACGGGGGGGGCAAGCGUUGUUCGGAAUUACUGGGCGUAAAGGGCUCGUAGGCGGCCAACUAAGUCAGACGUGAAAUCCCUCGGCUUAACCGGGGAACUGCGUCUGAUACUGGAUGGCUUGAGUUUGGGAGAGGGAUGCGGAAUUCCAGGUGUAGCGGUGAAAUGCGUAGAUAUCUGGAGGAACACGGGUGGCGAAGGCGGCAUCCUGGACCAACGCUGACGCUGAGUGAGCGAAAGCCAGGGGGGCAAACGGGA
rnacentral:rRNA from 1 species